rnacentral:rRNA from 1 species
CCUACGGGGGGCAGCAGUGGGGAAUAUUGCACAAUGGGGGGAACCCUGAUGCAGCGACGCCGCGUGAGUGAAGAAGUAUUUCGGUAUGUAAAGCUCUGUCAGCAGGGAAGAAGAAAGACGGUACCUGACCAAGAAGCCCCGGCUAACUACGUGCCAGCAGCCGCGGUAAUACGUAGGGGGCAAGCGUUAUCCGGAUUUACUGGGUGUAAAGGGAGCGUAGACGGCAGGGCAAGUCUGGAGUGAAAGGCGGGGGCCCAACCCCUGGACUGCUCUGGAAACUGUCCGGCUGGAGUGCAGGAGAGGUAAGUGGAAUUCCUAGUGGAGCGGUGAAAUGCGUAGAUAUUAGGAGGAACACCAGUGGCGAAGGCGGCUUACUGGACUGUAACUGACGUUGAGGCUCGAAAGCGUGGGGAGCAAACAGGAUUAGAUACCCCGGUAGUC